GAGCGAGCGACGCGGGUUCUGGGGUUCUUACUGAAGUGCGGCGGCGGCGGCGGCAAGUUGUGGGGCGGCAGCAUGUUCAGCUGGAUGGGGCGGCAGGCUGGCGGGCGCGAGCGCUCGGGCGGCAUGGACGCGGUGCAGACGGUGACGGGCGGCCUGCGCUCUCUGUACCAGCGCAAGGUGCUGCCGCUGGAGGAGGCGUACCGCUUCCACGAGUUUCACUCGCCAGCGCUGGAGGACGCCGACUUCGAAAACAAGCCCAUGAUCCUGCUGGUGGGCCAGUACAGCACGGGCAAGACCACGUUCAUCAGAUACUUACUGGAGCAAGAUUUCCCAGGCAUGAGAAUUGGUCCAGAGCCAACCACAGAUUCCUUCAUUGCUGUGAUGUAUGGGGAGACUGAGGGAAGCACCCCUGGGAAUGCUUUAGUUGUGGAUCCCAAAAAGCCAUUCCGAAAGCUUAGUCGCUUUGGAAAUGCUUUCCUGAACAGAUUCAUGUGCUCACAGCUGCCCAACCAAGUUCUGAAGAGCAUCAGCAUCAUCGACAGUCCUGGCAUUCUGUCUGGGGAGAAGCAGCGCAUAAGCCGAGGUCAGGUAUGACUUCUGCCAGGUCUUACAGUGGUUUGCCGAGAGGGUUGACAGGAUCAUCCUGCUCUUUGACGCUCACAAAUUGGACAUCUCAGAUGAGUUCUCAGAGGCGAUCAAGGCCUUCCGGGGCCAGGAUGACAAAAUCCGAGUGGUACUGAACAAGGCUGACCAAGUGGAUACACAGCAGCUGAUGCGAGUCUAUGGGGCCCUCAUGUGGUCUCUGGGCAAGGUCAUCAACACACCUGAAGUACUUCGAGUCUACAUUGGUUCAUUUUGGGCACAGCCCCUGCAAAACACCGACAACCGCCGGCUCUUUGAGGCUGAAGCACAGGACCUCUUCCGAGACAUCCAGAGCCUGCCCCAGAAGGCUGCAGUGCGCAAACUCAAUGACCUCAUCAAGCGUGCAAGGUUGGCCAAAGUCCACGCCUACAUCAUCAGCUACCUGAAGAAGGAAAUGCCAAAUAUGUUUGGAAAAGAAAAUAAGAAGCGAGAACUUAUCUACAGGCUCCCGGAAAUCUAUGUUCAGCUGCAGCGAGAAUACCAGAUUUCUGCAGGGGACUUCCCUGAGGUCAAGGCCAUGCAGGAGCAGCUGGAGAACUACGACUUCACCAAGUUCCACUCACUGAAGCCCAAGCUGAUCGAGGCUGUGGACAACAUGCUGACCAACAAGAUCUCAUCCCUGAUGGGCCUCAUCAGCCAGGAGGAGAUGAACAUGCCCACGCAGAUGGUGCAGGGCGGCGCCUUUGAUGGCACCACAGAGGGGCCCUUCAACCAGGGCUAUGGGGAGGGGGCCAAGGAGGGGGCCGAUGAGGAAGAGUGGGUCGUGGCUAAAGACAAGCCGGUGUAUGACGAACUCUUUUACACGCUGUCACCCAUCAAUGGCAAGAUAUCGGGUGUCAACGCCAAGAAGGAGAUGGUGACCUCCAAGCUGCCCAACAGUGUCCUGGGCAAGAUCUGGAAGCUGGCCGACUGCGACUGCGACGGCAUGCUAGACGAGGAGGAGUUCGCGCUGGCCAAGCACCUCAUCAAGAUCAAGCUGGACGGCUACGAGCUGCCCAACAGCCUGCCCCCACACCUGGUGCCCCCCUCCCACAGGAAGUCCCUGCCAAAGGCUGACUGAGGGCCCACAGCUGGGGUGGGAGGGGUGGUGCCUGGGCCUGAAGUCUGCUCUGCCACUGACUCGCUGAAUGUCCGUGGCCAAAGUUCCGUCCUCUCCGUGACUCGGUUUUCUCAUAUGUAGGGCAGGGAGGGCAGAUCCCGGACACUAGAUGAGGUCUUUAUGCCUCUAAAAUCCUGAAGUUUCUAUCAAAAUAUUGAGAAGAGCAGUAUAUAGAUAUGGAGAUCAAAGAAUAAGAAGAAAAAAAAAUUAUCCAAAGAAGAAUGUAGGUGUGACACAGGCUGUCGAAGUCUGGGCACUCAGGGAUUGAGCCAGGGACUCACUGGAGCCAUCAGAGCUGUGCUGGACAGUAAGUUACCAUGAGCCUCUUUGUCCUUCAGGGGGCACUGAGAGGCAGCAAAGGACCUAAUUUAUUUUUCUUACUGUGUUUCCUGCUCUAUCUAGAGAGGAAAAGGAACAGAACAGAGAGUUUCUGCCUUCCAUAGAUUAAAAACCAAAGAGAAGACUAAUACCCAGGUUUGAAAGAGGAUGUGCCAUGUCUGUGUGGGCCCAUCUGCAGUCCCCAUCAGAGUAGGCAGCCAGGCAAGGAGAACCUGUCUUGUCCCAGCACCUGCUGCCUGACCCUGCCAAGCCUCCCUCAGUUAGGAAUUCAUAAUUCACAAACUGUCAGCCCCUGGCAAGACCUGUGUGCCCUUCAACCACUGAAUGUCCCCAAAGCUUUUUUGGUAGGUGGCAGAAUUUAAAUUCAAUAAAGCUUGUCUUGAUUUGUGUGGAGUCCCAGAGCCUUCGGACCCAGGUAAAGCGAGAGCAGCCCCAUCCUGAGCUGUGAGUGGAAGAGACCAGCGCCCUGGUGAUUGAUGAUGUUGUUUGAUUUUUAAAGAAAGAAAUGCAUUUCAUUGUGUCCAGGUAUGUUUUUCUCACAAGAUGUAGCCUCUCUGAAGAAAUCUCUGUAAUACCUUUUCUUCCAAGCUAGACACCUCACAUCAGGAGUGCCUAUCUGGGCCAGGAUUGGUCUACUUCUGCCUCUUCAGUGUUCUUUCCCAAGCCCACCUAGUCAGGCGCCGCAGGGGCUGCCUCCUACUGUACCCUGCUCUGUGGCCCAGCAGAAGAACACUGUCACCAUCACUUACGAAGUAGGAAUCACAGCGCAGCAGUGACCACAUGACCAACAGCAGCAGAAAUGAAUGAAUCUGAACAGCAUCCCUGAAUCUUCACAAAAACAUACUCCAAUCCCUAAUUGUCUGCAUCUGGCAACCUCAGGGUCAGAACCGGGGAUUUAAGAGAAAAUGCUAAGAGCUCACACCCAUUUCGCAGCACUUGGGAGGCAGAUGCAGGGGGAUUACCAUGAGUUCGAAGCCAGUCUGAACUACAUCGUUUGUUUUAUGGUAGUCUGUGUAAAACAGAAUACUUACGCCACCAUUCACACUUCCUAUCUUACUUUCUAAAUAAUGGUUUUAAGAGAAACACAGUGUUUGCUUUACUCUGAAAGCGUGUUUUUAUUAAUUGGACACACACAGGUGAAUGUUUGAUCCCGGGGCUGUAACUGUAUUUGUGUCAGUGUCCAUGGAGAGGUGAUGCCUGGGAGGUCUUGACUUUCCUCCUAGUUGUCUUCUGCUUUCUCUGCACAGUUGUCAUAUAUCUACCUAAAUAUAAUCACAAAUGUA